rnacentral:antisense_RNA from 1 species
CUUGAUCGAGCCGAGCCACAGCGGCCGGUCCUCGGGCCGCUCGCGGCCGUAGGUGGCGAUCAGUGCCUGAGCCUC